rnacentral:lncRNA from 1 species
ACGAGACGAUGGAAUGCAAUGGGAUAGAUGGUAGAGGGCUGCCUGCGCCCAAAAGCGAUGAUUCACUUGUCCCCUUGUCCAUAGGGACCUCGUGGCAUACAACCGAAACGACUCCCGCUAGAUAGCCGCCCCUUUCUCUCUUUUUACAGCCUCGUGGACGGACGAAUAAUUCAGAAGCUUUUUUGCAAAGAAGAAGGGCCCUGUUCCUACGGGUUCACGUGCUAAGGCUUCACUAAAAAAUGCUCUUUUUCAAGAGAGAGGUUUAAGGCGCAUUAAUCACGCCUUGAAGGAGGGAAGUAGUGGA